ACGGGCCCGGGUGUGCUGGGGGCGGGCAGAGGCAUCGGCGCUGCCCCGGCGAGGGGCCGAACCAGCGGGGCGAGCAGGAGCGGGCCGGGCGAGGCUCUGCUCGACUCCUCUGCGGCUAGGAAUGAUGGCGGCCGGGCUGGGGCCGUGGCUUCUGGCCUUGUGCUUGGCCGCGGGGCCGGCAGCAGUCACUGCCCAGGUGGCCUUGGAGCAACAUGUCAGGAAAGUGGCCGUGCAAGAGGGCAAUGGAGUCACCUUCCACUGCAGCAUGAGUGGAGACAGAAUGGACAGGUACUACAUGUUUUGGUACCGACAGGGGCCUCGUGGCUCUCUGGACUGGAUUUACCGGGAGGGUGAUGCCUAUGGAACAGGUUUCCAGGAUCGCUUUAAGGGAUCAGUGGAAAGCUCCAAGAACAGAUGCACCCUGCAGAUCCUGUCAGCAAAGCAUGGGGAUGAAGCAGUGUAUUACUGUGCUGCUAGGCUCACCCUGGAGCAACUCUGCAGCAGAGGGGACUAAAAACUGAGAAGAAAUACAGAUCUCUCAGCAUUUCUUUCUAGCACCUGAUAACCACAGUUUGGUGUCACACAAUGGCAGGUGCAGGAAACGGACCUGUGGUGUGCUUGCAGUAAAGGGUGAUGAAGGGAAGUGUGGAUGAAGGGCUAAGAGCAUGUAUGAUGCAGGAGGAUCUAUGAAGUGGCAACUUCAGAGGCUGUAUGGUGAAGUGCAGGUGAGUGCCUGGGCUUCUGUCCAGCAUGGCCCAGUUUCUUCCAUUGCUCCAGGAUGAAGUAUGCAAGGUCUGUGUCCCAGACAGAACGGACGGCAGAUGAGAUGUAUAUGCACUAGUCAAGAUUUAUUGCAGAUAACGUUGGGGUCUUAACUAUUCAUCAUGCAAGGCGCAAGUACAGGAAAAGCAUAGAGAAACUGGGAGAUCCAAACAGAACUGCAGUUUGAAUGCAAAGUGUGUAUCAGCAGUGAAUUUUACUACUUGUAAUUAAAUCAAACAACAAAGGUUAACCAUUAAA